AUGAAGCCGCCGUGCAGGCAAAAGGUGCACAAGGAAACCGAACAAUGACGGAAAACGUUGCCAACCAGCAGCUCAGGGGUUCGGCAUCAGCCCAUAACAACCAACCCACUCCGCCAACCACCGCCCACUAAGCAGAAUUGGAUCCGAUGAACCACCCACCGAAUGGCUUGGCUGAGCGUCAAGUGUCAUAAAAAAAUAGGAACAACACUUGCAAGCCAAAAACUAAAGUGCACGAGUUGCUGGCCAUGUGGCUCUUCACACACCACCCAUCAUCACUCCAGUCAACUUUCUACGCCCAACCACCAACAGCCACCCAACGCGCCCAACGAGGCACCACCCACCAUUCACUGCCCCAUUCACCGUUCACCACACUCUCCUAUUACUACUAGAUCCAUUUUCGCUCAUCUUUCAAAGGCGCCGUGUUGCGUUUGUGUUUGUGCUGACUGCAGGCGGAG
ensembl:ncRNA lncRNA:CR45407 long non-coding RNA:CR45407